rnacentral:piRNA from 1 species
GAGCUCAGAGAUAUGGCAUUGACUA